rnacentral:rRNA from 1 species
UACGUAGGGUGCAAGCGUUGUCCGGAAUUAUUGGGCGUAAAGAGCUUGUAGGCGGUUUGUCGCGUCUGCUGUGAAAUUUCGGGGCUCAACCCCGAACUUGCAGUGGGUACGGGCAGACUAGAGUGUGGCAGGGGAGACUGGAAUUCCUGGUGUAGCGGUGAAAUGCGCAGAUAUCAGGAGGAACACCGGUGGCGAAGGCGGGUCUCUGGGCCGAUACUGACGCUGAGGAGCGAAAGCGUGGGGAGCGAACAGG